CGGUCCAUUCUAAUUCCCAUUAGGUCAGAGCCAGUACCUGCUGGGUUUCGCUUGUGGACCAAAUUAACUGGGAGACUCUUUAAAUAUGAGUUUACUGCUCGUGUGCUCAUAAUAAGAGUUUUCUGGACAUGC
ensembl:snoRNA SNORA52 small nucleolar RNA, H/ACA box 52